GUGACGAAACCUGGCAAGGCCUAUAGAUGACGACGUAUUUAUGCGCUGA
rnacentral:snoRNA from 1 species